rnacentral:rRNA from 1 species
UUAAUAGUAAAAUCUGCUCAAUGAAUUAAUUAAAUAGCCGCUAUUAGUGCUAAGGUAGCAUAAUAAUUUGUCUUUUAAAUAAGGACCAGAACAAAAGAUUUAACAUUUUAUUUAAUUUAUUAAAAUUUAAAAAAUCAAAACUAAUUUAAUUGUAAAAAAGCAAUUAUUAAAAAGAAAGACGACAAGACCCUAUUGAACUUAACUUUAGUUUAACUGGGGCAGUUAAUCAAUUAAUACUUUAAUUAUAUUAAACAUUACAAUAUCUAAUACAAUUAAAUUAUCAAGUUACCAUAGGGAUAACAGCGCAAUAAUAUUUUAAAGUUCUUAUAUAAAAAAUAGAUUACGACCUCGAUGUUGAAUUAAUUACCUAAUUGAAGCAAAUUUCAAAUAAAGGAAGUCUGUUCGACUUAUAAUAAAUUACAUGAUUUGAGUUCAGACCGGUGUAAACCAGGUCGGUUUCCAUCUUCUUUAAAAUAUUUUUGUAGUACGAAAGGACCUAAAAGUAUAAUAAUAUUUUCAUAUUAGCAAAUAAAUGCAUUAGAAUUAGAAUCUAAUAAACU